ensembl:lncRNA
ACAACACAAAGGUCUUCAAUUCUAAGUUCAACGGAAUCAACCUGCUGAGAUGGGCAUGGCCCCGGGUAGAGAGAGGCGCCAGGCUCGCUGAACAUGGUCAAAAAUCCACUCGUCGUCUUGGGCUCAAUCGAGGACGGGGGUAAAACGCACUCAGUGCGAGGAAGGGACUAUUUAAGGUCUUUCGGGUUCAUCUUUUUGGAAAAAAACAAAAGUGAGUUGAUUCAUAUUUAGAAUUUGAUGGUACACUUUAGAAGAGAGUGUAAAUGAGUCACCAAACUACUUUCCCAUCCCAACUCCAGGCCUAUCCAGAGAUUCUAUUUUUAACUUCUUAAAUUAAAAAAACAAAAAUUAUCUUAGUAGCUGUAGGCAGUGGAAACUUUAAUGAAACCUGAUUAACUCAACAUUCAAUUAAAAAACAAUUUGGGUCGGGAGCAGAAAUCACCCACAGAAGGUGUGGAGGCCCCUGGUCCCUGUUACGACUCACGUUUCUGAGCGCCGUCACACUCGAGGUUCCGCCCUCUCCCAACGACUCCAGGGACCCUCCAGCCCCAGUAGGGCUGCUCUUUCUGAGGCUGCGAUGGCUGUGGCCCCAUAGUCCUCCUCCGGCUUAGCCUCAACAGCCUGUCUCUGGGGCGUCCCGCUCUCGGAAUUGCUCUCCUUCCUUGGCUCCUGAGUCUUCCCGGAUGCUGCACGUGGCCUCUCAUCAGAUCCUUCACUGUGAACACACAACCACCUGCUAACCUCUCACGUGGGGCGGCCCGAGCGUGGAGGGAGAAGUCUGAAGCAGGACUUCACCUGCUGCCCGCCUCCCACAGGGUCAGUACCCUCUGUUUAUGUUCUCUCAGUCUCUUGGGCCAGAAAACUUGGUUGGAAUCACCCGUUAAGUCCCAUUUCUCUCUCAUUCCCUGCAUUUAAUCACCAGUCUAAUCUAAUCUCUUCUAUUUUCAUAAUCGUGAAUUUCUGUUCCCAGCACCACUUUCCAUGUUUAGGCUCCUAUGAGACCUUCUGUCUGGAUGACUCUAACAGCCUCUUGACUGGAAUUUCUUUCUCUCCCUCCCUGUCUUUCUUCAACAAAUACUGAUCUAUUUCCUAUUUUGUGCCCACACCAUGCUAGUGGCUUGGGAAACAAAAGGAAUUAGACCAGGCUCCUUCCAAAAUGCAAUGGGAAGAUGGGUGUGGAUGAUGCUUUGAUGAGCAUUACACACGUGAAGGCAGUCCUAGGCGGCCCGGAGAGGGGCGAGUCAUUGGUUUUUGCAGCAAGUGGGCAGGAGCAUUCACAAGGGCCUAACAGAGCAGGUGGCUCUGGGACUGGGCCUGGGGAUGGAGAGGACUUCGUCUGAUGGAGAGGCAUCAGAGGGCCUUCCAGGCCAAGGGGACAGCGGCGUCGGGGUGUGGCGGUUCAGUCGCUGAGCACAGCCUGUGAGGGGGCAGUGGGGGCAUGUGGCUGGAGGUGGGUUGGGCCAGAUGGUCAGAGCCUCCUGUGGGGCGGUGGGUUUAGUUCAACAGGAGGUCUGGAACUGUUGGUUUCACUUUCCACAUCUUAGUAAAUGCCAAGUUCUGAGUAGAAUCAACAAACUAAUGCUUGAAUCUAAUCCCUUUUCUCCAAUUCUUAUUUCUGGCCCUAUUCUUGGGGGCCAUUGGCCAAACUCCCUUCUGUAAGAGUGAGAACAUCUCUGCAGCUGAUGCUCAGCAUGUCAUUAAUGAUCUUCCCUUUCUUGUAGCAAACAAAUGGGAUGUGGCAAUAUGUGACAAUAUCAGGAUCCAUGUGCAAAUUUCCUGGAAGACCAGUGACACAUACAUACAGAUUGGGUUGUUUUUUAAAUUUUUUUAAAGAUUGGCACCUGAGCUAACAACUGUUGCCAAUGUUUUUUUUUCUUCUUCUCCCCGAAGUCCCCCAGUACAGUUGUAUAUUCUAGUUGUGAGUGCCUCUGCUGUGCUAUGUGGGAUGCCGCCUCAGCAUGACCUGAUGAGCGGUGCUGUGUCGGCGCCCAGGAUCCGAACCAGUGAAACCCUGGGCCGCCGAAGUGGAGCAUGUGAACUUAACCACCUGGCCACAGGGCUGGCCCCAAAGCUUGUUUUCAUUAAAUUUUCACCACAGUUCUGUGAGAAAUCUCCCUCACCAGAAAUUCUGCUUGCUUGUUGUUUUUGGCUUCUAG